rnacentral:rRNA from 1 species
AGUGAACGCUGGCGGUAGGCCUAACACAUGCAAGUCGAACGGCAGCACAGUAAGAGCUUGCUCUUACGGGUGGCGAGUGGCGGACGGGUGAGGUAUACAUCGGAAUCUACUCUUUCGUGGGGGAUAACGUAGGGAAACUUACGCUAAUACCGCAUACGACCUACGGGUGAAAGCAGGGGAUCUUCGGACCUUGCGCGAUUGAAUGAGCCGAUGUCGGAUUAGCUAGUUGGCGGGGUAAAGGCCCACCAAGGCGACGAUCCGUAGCUGGUCUGAGAGGAUGGUCAGCCACAUUGGAAGUGAGACACGGUCCAGACUCCUACGGGAGGCAGCAGUGGGGAAUAGUAGACAAUGGGCGCAAGCCUGGUCCAGCCAUACCGCGUGGGUGAAGAAGGCGUUCGGUUUGGAAAGCCCUUUUGUGGGUAGAGAAAAGCAGCAGGUUAAUACCCCGCUGUUCUGACGGUACCCAAAGAAUAAGCACCGGCUAACUUCGUG